rnacentral:tRNA from 1 species
GUUCUUAUAGUUUAAAAAAAACUUUACAUUUUCAUUGUAAAAUUAGAUAAUAUCUUAAGAAUC